rnacentral:tRNA from 2 species
GCCGGCGUAGCUCAGUGGCAGAGCGGACGUUUCAUAAGCGUUAGGUCGCUGGGUUCGAAUCCCGCCGCCGGCACAA